rnacentral:rRNA from 1 species
CAGCCGCCGCGGUAAUACCGGCGGCCCGAGUGGCGGUCACUAUUAUUGGGCUUAAAGCGUCCGUAGCCGGGUUGGGAAGUCCUCCGGGAAAUCUGGCCGCUUAAAGGUCAGAAUGCCGGAGGAUACUCCCAGCCUAGGGAGCGGGAGAGGCCGAGGGUAUUCCCGGAGUAGGGGUGAAAUCCUAUAAUCCCGGGAGGACCACCCGUGGCGAAGGCGCUCGGCUGGAACGCGUCCGACGGUGAGGGACGAAGGCCAGGGGAGCAAACCGGAUUAGAUACCCGGGUAGUCCUGGCUGUAAACGAUGCGGACUUUGUGUCGGACAAGCUAUGAGCUUGUCCGGUGCCGGAGGGAAACCGUUAAGUCCGCCGCCUGGGGAGUACGGCCGCAAGGCUGAAACUUAAAGGAAUUGGCGGG